rnacentral:sRNA from 1 species
ACCAGACCCACCAAGUUACGGGCGGCGGAGAGCGAUCUUGCCGUGAACUGGGGGAUUAGCUCAGCUGGGAGAGCACCUGCUUUGCAAGCAGGGGGUCGUCGGUUCGAUCCCGUCAUCCUCCACCAACACCUUGUGGUAGCCAAACGCAAGCAUCGAGAGAUCGGUGUUUGCGUUUGGCAUUGCCAAGACGAGUAGUAACUCGGCUGUUCUUUAACAAUAUGGAAUGUAGUAAAGGUGUCGCGGCGCGUUGAUGAGGCGCGCAAUUUAAACGCGACACUGGGUUGUGAUUGUAUCAACCAGUAUUGCGAGUGAUCGAAAGACCGCUUGGAAUACGGCACAACGCGAGAACUCAGCCUAUAGCGAGACAUACUCGUUAUAGGGUCAAGCGAAUAAGUGCAUGUGGUGGAUGCCUUGGCGAUCACAGGCGAUGAAGGACGUAGUAGCUUGCGAAAAGCUGCGGGGAGCUGGCAAACGAGCUUUGAUCCGCAGAUGUCCGAAUGGGGAAACCCGGCCCGUAUGGGUCAUCCCUUGCUGAAUACAUAGGCAAGGGAGGCGAACGCAGUGAACUGAAACAUCUAAGUAGCUGCAGGAAAAGAAAUCAACCGAGAUUCCCAGAGUAGUGGCGAGCGAAAUGGGAACAGCCUUGUACUCUUUAGCAGUAUUGUUAGCGGAACGGAAUGGAAAGUCCGGCCAUAGUGGGUGAUAGCCCCGUACGCGAAAACAGUAUUGUGGAACUAGGUGUACGACAAGUAGGGCGGGACACGUGAAAUCCUGUCUGAAGAUGGGGGGACCAUCCUCCAAGGCUAAAUACUCGUGAUCGACCGAUAGUGAACCAGUACCGUGAGGGAAAGGCGAAAAGAACCCCGGGAGGGGAGUGAAAUAGAUCCUGAAACCGCAUGCAUACAAACAGUCGGAGCCUGGAAACGGGUGACGGCGUACCUUUUGUAUAAUGGGUCAGCGACUUACAUUCAGUGGCAAGCUUAACCGAUUAGGGAAGGCGUAGCGAAAGCGAGUCCGAAUAGGGCGUUCAGUCGCUGGGUGUAGACCCGAAACCAAGUGAUCUAUCCAUGGCCAGGUUGAAGGUGCGGUAACACGUACUGGAGGACCGAACCCACUAACGUUGAAAAGUUAGGGGAUGAGCUGUGGAUAGGGGUGAAAGGCUAAACAAACUUGGAAAUAGCUGGUUCUCUCCGAAAACUUUUUAGGUAGUGCCUCGUGUCUCACCUUCGGGGGUAGAGCACUGUCAUGGUUGGGGGGUCUAUUGCUGAUUACCCCGCCAUAGCAAACUCCGAAUACCGA